UACGUAUGGUGCAAGCGUUAAUCGGAAUUACUGGGCGUAAAGCGUGCGCAGGCGGUUAUGCAAGACAGAUGUGAAAUCCCCGGGCUCAACCUGGGAACUGCAUUUGUGACUGCAUGGCUAGAGUGCGGCAGAGGGGGAUGGAAUUCCGCGUGUAGCAGUGAAAUGCGUAGAUAUGCGGAGGAACACCGAUGGCGAAGGCAAUCCCCUGGGCCUGCACUGACGCUCAUGCACGAAAGCGUGGGGAGCAAACAGG
rnacentral:rRNA from 1 species